rnacentral:ncRNA from 1 species
AUAUUUGAGAGUUUGAUCCUGGCUCAGGAUGAACGCUGGCGGCGUGCCUAACACAUGCAAGUCGAGCGAUCUCUUCGGAGAGAGCGGCGGACGGGUGAGUAACGCGUGGGUAACCUGCCCUGUACACACGGAUAACAUACCGAAAGGUAUACUAAUACGGGAUAACAUAUAAAAGUCGCAUGGCUUUUGUAUCAAAGCUCCGGCGGUACAGGAUGGACCCGCGUCUGAUUAGCUAG